rnacentral:snoRNA from 1 species
CUCUCUGAUGAUACGGCACUGGGCUCUGAAUACCUUGAAGAUAUGCCAUUUUGCGACAGGCCUAGAAAACCUCGUCCACUGAUU